AAGUCGUAACAAGGUCUCCGUAGGUGAACCUGCGGAGGGAUCAUCAGAGAUAUUAUAUUUGGGCUCUGCCCGCAAACAAUGCACAUGUCAAAGAAGAAGCGGGGGCUGGCUGGUUGGUUGAUUUGGCUGGCUUGGUUGGUUGGUUGAUUGACUUGGCGAACUUGACUUGGCUUGGCUGGCACCCCCAAAACACACUGCCUGAUAUAACUGACUUGGUGGUCGCUGACUUGGUAAAACAAAACAACUUUCAACAACGGAUCUCUUGGCUCUCA
rnacentral:misc_RNA from 1 species